AGUGAACGCUGGCGGUAGGCCUAACACAUGCAAGUCGAACGGCAGCACAGUAAGAGCUUGCUCUUACGGGUGGCGAGUGGCGGACGGGUGAGGAAUACAUCGGAAUCUACUUUUUCGUGGGGGAUAACGUAGGGAAACUUACGCUAAUACCGCAUACGACCUACGGGUGAAAGCCGGGGAUCUUCGGACCUUGCGCGAUUGAAUGAGCCGAUGUCGGAUUAGCUAGUUGGCGGGUUAAAGGCCCACCAAGGCGACGAUCCGUAGCUGGUCUGAGAGGAUGAUCAGCCACACUGGAACUGAGACACGGUCCAGACUCCUACGGGAGGCAGCAGUGGGGAAUAUUGGACAAUGGGCGCAAGCCUGAUCCAGCCAUACCGCGUGGGUGAAGAAGGCCUUCGGGUUGUAAAGCCCUUUUGUUGGGAAAGAAAAGCAGCAGGUUAAUACCCCGCUGUUCUGACGGUACCCAAAGAAUAAGCACCGGCUAACUUCGUG
rnacentral:rRNA from 1 species